CCCAGGGGCAUUACAGGAGUGGACUACAUGGGAAACUUAAUGUACAGAGCAUUUCUCCCAUCAGGCACUGCUGUACGAGAGGGAUCCUCCCACUGGAAUGUACAGUUAAGUGGAUUAUCCCUCUGUGCAGCAGAACCGACAAUUCACAUAAAAAUGUAUAACUUCCCCAACAUUGGGGUGAUUUUAACGAAUGGACGUUCGGUAGAUAGCUGGGGUCUGAGCACAU